rnacentral:tRNA from 1 species
GCCUGGGUGGCUUAGUUGGUUAAGCAUCUGACUGCCGCUCAGGUCAUGAGCUCACAGUUUGUGAGUUCAAGCCCCACACUGGGCU